CUGAGGACCGUUCUAAAACUGUGGUUCUGUGUUGGCUGCUACUUCUGCAGCUACUCUUGAAGAGUUUGGGUUCCGUGGCUGUGAUCUACAGAUAUCUCAAAUGACUGGUAGCUCCACAAGAUGCUGGGAAGCAAAGAUACACUCACCCCGCACUUAGCUUCAAUGAAACACAUAAGAAAGGAGGAAACCAAAGCUUAUCCCUCCGGCCAGGCGGAACAGUAUCCUGAAACCCCCACCUAAACCUAAACAGCUGCUGGAAGAGAAGAACAACACUCGGAAAGACCCCAGCCCGACCAAUCAAGGAGGACCACAACUCCUCGGCGGGGCAACCCCCACCCCAGCCCUAAGUUUAAAAACCCUUAGUCUGUACAAAG